UACGAAGGGGGCUAGCGUUGCUCGGAAUCACUGGGCGUAAAGCGCACGUAGGCGGCUUUUUAAGUCAGGGGUGAAAUCCUGGAGCUCAACUCCAGAACUGCCUUUGAUACUGAGGAUCUCGAGUCCGGGAGAGGUGAGUGGAACUCCGAGUGUAGAGGUGAAAUUCGUAGAUAUUCGGAAGAACACCAGUGGCGAAGGCGGCUCACUGGCCCGGUACUGACGCUGAGGUGCGAAAGCGUGGGGAGCAAACAGG
rnacentral:rRNA from 1 species